AGUGAACGCUGGCGGUAGGCCUAACACAUGCAAGUCGAACGGCAGCACAGUAAGAGCUUGCUCUUACGGGUGGCGAGUGGCGGAUGGGUGAGGCAUACAUCGGAUUCUACUUUUUCGUGGGGGAUAACGUAGGGACACUUACGCUAAUACCGCAUACGUCCUACGGGUGAAAGCAGGGGAUCUUCGGACCUUUCGCGAUUGAAUGAGACGAUGUCGGAUUAGCUAGUUGGCGGGGUAAAGGCCCACCAAGGCGACGAUCCGUAGCUGGUCUGAGAGGAUGAUCGGCCACACUGGAACUGAGACACGGUCCAGACUCCUACGGGAGGCAGCAGUGGGGAAUAUUGGGCAAUGGGCUCAAGCCUGAUCCAGCCAUACCGCGUGGGUGAUGAAGGCCUUCGGGUUGUAAAACCCUUUUGUUGGGAAAGAAAAGCAGCAGGUGAAUACCCCGCUGUUCUGACGGUACCCAAAGAGUAAGCACCGGCUAACUUCGUG
rnacentral:rRNA from 1 species